rnacentral:lncRNA from 1 species
UUCCCAAAAUAUUAUACUCGGAACAUUAAUAUGUUACCAACUAAAUUACGAGAAUAAUAAAUGAGAUCUCAUUCAAAAUUGCAGCAACUCCAAAGCAGAUAUGAGGGUAAUGAAAAUGAGGCAAAGACAGGAGGUGGGAGAGACUGGAGAGCAAUGAAUGACACGUACGGAUGCCAUUCAUCAUUCAAAAGACUCACAGGUUUGAACCGUGGAUGAACAGAACUAUAGGUUUGACAGGCCCAUAAUUAAAGGUUAGCUAAAACCAGAGCAAAGCAAGAUGGAAGGUGGACAAGUGUGUUUGAGUUGGGUCAGUUUAAUCUGUGCCUUGAAACAGUUGAAUCAAGAGAAGAAACCAUCUUGGGCCAUUUGAUCUUGUCAGAUUGAUAUUGCUUCUUCUUUCUUGAUUAAGAAGAUGCCUCACAUGUUUCAGAAAAACGAGCAACUUGGCGCCAAACGCCAUUUAUAAACCCUAAGAACAAAGGUAUCAUCACCGUAUCAGCAGACAAAUGCAACAGUCCAGAAUCACCUAUCACAUUAUUCAUAUAUUGAUUAUUCAUGUCUUUUUGACCCCACCUUAUAUUUAUUUCAUGAAAAUGCUUGUCCCUAACUUGUUCUCUGCCCCUCUUCCUUAACUCCUUCUCCGGCUUCUCUCAUUUAUUCUUCACUGUUCUUUUACCAUAUCUUUGCGUGGUUCUUUUUCAUGAUUCUGUGCAGAGAUUCUCCUUACCGAAGCAGUUUGGACCCUUUACUAGUUAGAUCUAAUGUGUAGAUUGUUUCCAUUAAUUUCUUAACAUCAUAAGUGUUGUUUAGAUUUGUCUUUUGAGCAACAUAAAUGUGUGUAGAAU